rnacentral:rRNA from 1 species
GACGAACGCUGGCGGCGUGCUUAACACAUGCACGUCGAACGAAGUGGCGAACGGGUGAGUAAUACGUGAGUAACCUGCCCUCCUUUUUGGGAUAAGCCUUGGAAACGGGGUCUACUACCGAAUAAAGGGGGCUGGGUUCGCGGCCUAUCAGCUUGUUGGUGGGGUGAUGUCCUACCAAGGCGGUGACGGGUAGCCGGCCUGAGAGGGUGACCGGCCAGAUUGGGAAUGACAUACGGCCCAGACAUCUACGGGAGGCAGCAGUGGGGGAUAGUGGAGAAUGGGCGAAAGACUGAUGCAGCGACGCUGCGUGGGGGAUCAAGGUUUUCGGGUUGUAAACCUCUUUCGCUAUCGAGCGGGUAGGUGGCGAAGAAUCGCCGGCUAACUACGCGCCAGCAGCCGCGGUAAUUC